CAGUGACAGCUUUUGAGUGCUGGUAGAUCCUUUGAAUAGAGAGCCUUGAGUGUGUCCUUGUUUCCCCAGUAGGCCUUGUCCAACUCCCCAUCUUCCAGGGGAUAUACCUAUUGAAGUUUCAAAUGCUGUUCCUAAUCCUUUGUUGGCUUGAGGCUCUCCCCUCAGGAACUGCAGGAACUCCUGGUGCCGCCUGGGCCGAUGGAUUGGACGCCCCAGCCCCUCCGUUCCUGCCCAGCCACUGGGGCCGUGUCAAGUGGAAAGAAGGAAGAAGGGAACUGAGGCAUCAGCCAAGCAGCACCAAGUUGCUGUGUAAGCAGGUGAGUUGUGUUGAGGUUCCUGAGGCAGGCACUGAGGACUUUGAGGGCUCCAGACAGGGAAGACCUGGGAAGCCCCUCAGUGAAACCCCUCAGAAACCUGAAGCCCCUGGGUCUUUUUGGGAGCCUGAGCUAUUGCAGCCCUGGGGAUGGCUUUGGUUUCUUUUUCUCCUCAAAGUAAAACUGUACAGGGGAGUCUGUGAUCUCCCUGAUUUUUGUAUCAUAACUGGAACUUGGAAGAAAGUUGACCUUUGUGUAAUGUCCCAACUGACUUGGCCGGGUUGAAGCAGCAGUGCCAGAUUGUUGUCGUGUGCAGGUUAUUGUUUGUGUCUGAGCUGUUUGGUGUUAAUUUUCCAAGGGGGGUCAUGGAAUGUUCUGAUGGUUUUGUCCCAAUAUUUGGAGGUAGUGCCCUGGAUUAGUUGAUUUCUGCCUCCCUCCCUGAUGUCUGAGUUUGGAGAUGUACCAAGAACUGGUAGUUUUUGCAGUGGGAUGUUCCCUAGAAAGUGCAUGGAGCUGAGCCAAGGAACUUAAAGGGACUGAGCAAGCAAAGUCAAGAAAGAAAGAAGAAGGGAACUGAGGCAGCAGCCAAGCAGCACCAAAUUCCUCCACAACCAAGUGAGUUGUCUUGAAGUUGCUAAGGUGGUCACUGAGAACUUUGGGGGCUGCAGGCACAGGUGACCACCAGAGACCCCUGAUGGAGCCCCUCAGAGACCUUAUAAAGGAGAAAAUCUGGACAGUGGGAAGGAAGAAGAGAAGCCCCGUGACUCCUCCCUGAGCCCCAGCCAGCCCCUGAACUGCCUUGCUGGGAAUGGUGGGACGGGCUGGACUCUGGAUUGCUCCCUCUGGAUGUGUGUGGGAUGUAGCCUGGAAAGUGCACAGAGCUGAGCCGAGGGAUUUAAAGGGACCAAGGAAGGGAGGUGAAGAAAGAAGGAACUGAGGCAUCAGCCAAGCAGCACCAAGUUGCUGUGUAAGCAGGAGAAAAUCUGGACAGGGGGAAGGAAGAAGAGAAGCCCCGUGAGUCCUCCCUGAGCCCCAGCCAGCCCCUGAACUGCCUUCCUGGGAAUGGUGGGACGGGCUGGACUCUGGAUUGCUCCCUCUGGAUGUGUGGUAAGACUGUUAUGGCAACUUUUUGAAUAGAUGGUGCAAGGGCAGCCUUUAAGCAGCUGAAGCCUUCCCUGAGGAGAGCUCUGGGUCUGCCAGAUGUGUCAGAACUGUUGGAAGCAUCUUUGGUGGGGAGGGCAAAGAAAGGCCAAGGGGUGCAGUGACCCCCCUGAGAAGGGACUUUGAGUUAAUGGCAUCCCUGCAAGUGAACUUUGUGGGCUGCUCCCCCUGUAGGGCAGGUGAUAGUCCCAGCUACAGUGAUGGGGAAAAAUGGUUAAAAGAGAGCCCCAAAAGCUGGAAAUGCUCCUGGAGGCUCUUGGCAAAGAGAGUUUGGUGAGUUCCCCCUGACAGAAGGACAGUGAUAGCUUUUGAGUGCUGGUAGAUCCUUUGAAUAGACAGCCUUGAGUGUGUCCUUGUUGCCCCAGUAGGCCUUGUCCAACUCCCCAUCUUCCAGGGGAUAUAGCUAUUGAAGUUUCAAAUGCUGUUCCUAAUCCUUUGUUGGCUUGAGGCUCUCCCCUCAGGAACUGCAGGAACUCCUGGUGCCGCCUGGGCCGAUGGAUUGGACGCCCCAGCCCCUCCGUUCCUGCCCAGCCCCUGGGGCCGUGUCCAGUGGUGGCACUGCCAGCCCUGCAGGGGAAGUGGGAAGGGCCUUUGCAGGUCUUGUGGAUCACAUUGAUAGCAGUGGGAUGGAGCCUGGAAACUGCCCAGAGCUGAGCCAAGGGUUUGAAAGGGACCAAGCAAGGGAGGUGAAGAAAGAAGGAAGAAGGAACUGAGGCAUCAGCCAAGCAGCACCAAGUUCCUGUGUAAGCCAGGUGAGUUGUGUUGAGGUUCCUCAGGCAGGCACUGAGGACUUGGAGGGCUCCAGACAGAGAAGACCUGGGAAGCCCCUCAGUGAAGCCCCUCAGAAACCUGAAGCCCCUGGACCUUUUUGUGAGCCUUAGCUAUUGCAGCCCUGGGGAUGGCUUUGGUUUCUUUCUCUCCUCAGUGUUGAACUGUACAGGGCAGUCUGUGAUCUCCCUGAUUUUUGUAUCAUAACUGGAACUUGGAAGAAAGUUGACCUUGUGUAAUUUCCCAACUGCCUUGGCUGGGUUGAACCAGCAGUGCCAGAUUGUUGUAGUGUGCAGGUUAUUGUUUGUGUCUGAGCAGUUUGGGGUUGAUUUGCCAAGGAAGGCCAUGGAAUGUUAUGGUAGUUUUGUCCCAAUAUUGGUAGGUAGUGCCCUGGAUUAGUUGAUUUCUGCCUCGCUCCCUGAUGUCUGAGUUUGGAGAUGUACCAAGAACUGGUAGUUUUUGCAGUGGGAUGUUCCCUAGAAACUGCAUGGAGCUGAGCCAAGGAACUUAAAGGGACUGAGCAAGCAAAGUAAAGAAAGAAAGAAGAAGGGAACUGAGGCAGCAGCCAAGCAGCACCAAAUUCCUCCACAACCAAGUGAGUUGUGUUGAAGUUGCUAAGGUGGUCACUGAGAACUUUGGGGGCUGCAGGCACAAGUGACCACCAGAGACCCCCGAUGGAGCCCCUCAGAGACCUUAUAAGGGAGAAAAUGGGGAAAGUGGGAAGGAAGAAAAGAAGCCCCGUGACUCCUCGCUGAGCCCCAGCCAGCCCCUGAACUGCCUUCCUGGGAAUGGUGGGACGGGCUGGACUCUGGAUUGCUCCCUCUGGAUGUGUGGUAAGACUGUUAUGGCAACUUUUUGAGUAGAUGGUGCAAGGGCAGCGUUUAAGCAGCUGAAGCAUUCCCUGAGGAGAGCUCUGGGUGUGCCAGAUGUGUCAGAACUGUUGGCAGCAUCUUUGGUGGGGAGGGCAAAGAAAGGCCAAGGUGUGCAGUGACCCCCCUGAGAAGGGACUUUGAGUUAAUGGCAUCCCUGCAAGUGAACUUUGUGGGCUGUUCCCUCUGCAGGGCAGGUGAUGGUCCCAGCUAGAGUGAUGGAAAAAAUGGUUAAAAGGGAGCCCCAAAAGCUGGAAAUCCUCCUGGAAGCUCUUGGCAAAGAGAGUUUGUUGAGUUCCCCCUGACAGAAGGACAGUGACAGCUUUUGAGUGCUGGUAGAUCCUUUGAAUAGACAGCCUUGAGUGUGUCCUUGUGGCCCCAGUAGGCCUUGUCCAACUCCCCAUAUUCCAGGAGAUAUACCUAUUAAAGUUUCAAAUGCUGUUCCUAAUCCUUUGUUGGCUUGAGGCUCUCCCCUCAGGAACUGCAGGAACUCCUGGUGCCGCCUGGGCCGAUGGAUUGGACGCCCCAGCCCCUCCGUUCCUGCCCAGCCCCUGGGGCCGUGUCCAGUGGUGGCACUGCCAGCCCUGCAGGGGAAGUGGGAAGGGCCUUUGCAGGUCUUGUGGGUCACAUUUAUAGCAGCAACUGCAAUUCACCUGUAAGGGCCUGGUUUUCUUUCCUGCUUCUCCCAACGUGUCCAGGAGAUGGAAUUCCAGUGCUACAGAACAGAUGGCUUGUGGUGCU